GAUAAGCGGAACUCAAACGGAACGAAAACAAAGUUACACAACAUUCGCAAGUUGCCGCGUUUGUUUCCGAGUUUUCGGUCCGUGCAAGUUGCAGCAGAGAGCCGUGGCCAAGAGGAGAAAAAGGCAGAAGAAGAGUUAUUCCCUGUGGAAUUAUUUUGACGACAGAAAGAACGACCAGGUGUCGUCGUGGAUAACGACUUGACAGCGUUUGAAGCAUAAAAACUGCAGUGAAAGGAGGAAAUACGACAUUUUAUAUCAACUGCGGACAACCAACCGACUUUGUUCGCCAAAGUAAAGGAACAGUUUCCAUGUCGACAAUUGGGAUCAGGUUUCAAAGAAGGUCGUCGUGGAGCUGGACGACCUACUUCAGCUGUGGACAACAGGCUGCCAGCUUCAGCCGUAUCAGCAGAUAAAAGCCUUCCAGGCCUGGAGCAGCCGCCGCCGCUGCCUCCACAGGAGCAUUUCAAAGAAAGGAGGAAGAAAAGUGAGCUUUCAGGUGGUUCACUCAGGGGAGAGCAGGAUCAACCACCUGGAACACAAAGGCAUCUGACUGCAAUCAGGCUGAGGACAAAACAGAAAAGAGCUCUUGUUUGGAACGCAGGCUUCCUGGUUUUCGUCAGAUGCUCCAUUUAAGAGAUUCUCUCAUGUUCUUCAAGUCCACAUGCCGCAACUGCAGAACAUUAAGAACUGAAAAUACCAGCGGAGGGGAACAUGCGCUGCUGCUGAUGGAACGGUGUGCAUGAAACAAAAGAACAACACAGUCCUGGUACCGUUCACCACGGAAGGAAAGGAGCAUAUCAGAUGUGGAAAUCCACUGUUGCUGCAAAGAAGAGUGCUGGAAACUCACCGAUGGAACAGCGUGACAUUCUUCAGGCGUCCAGUGGUGUCCGGCUGGCGUCUGGUCUUCAAGGAGUAUGAACGACGACGGCGGCGGCAACACGGCUCUGCUCUCUACCCUCCCUGCAUCUCGCACGGCUUCCUUUAAGAUGCUUCAGUCUUGAGAGCGGGCUACAUGUUGCCCAACAUGCCAGUGCAAGUGUUUCCUCAAUUAGACGUCAUCUUAUCUGCUGUGAGCGCGUCCUCAUCAGAUGAAGCUUGCUGACAGCAGCGUCAUGGCAGUGAAGACCUCAGAGAGCUCCAUCAAAUGGCAGCUGUGCUACAACAUCACCAACCGGACCUGGUGGAUGGUGAGUUGGACAGAAACAUUUGAUUUCUCUUUCUUUUUAAAAACCCCCAAAAUGUUCUCUGUUUGACGACCCCAUCGUUUUCUCUCUGCUGCUCAUGGUCUUAAUAUCGCGACCCUCUCCCCUCGAAAAAAUAAGCUUUUGGAGUUUUAAUCCACUUUUAAUCCACUUUGAAUUUGUGUCUUCCUGCCGCACCCGUCUUUUCUCCGUGGUCCAUUUAGUGGACGGAUCCCAGCUCAGUUCUGAGACUCCUCUUCUCUUCCACUUGUUCUCCUCUUUUUUUUCUUCUAUCAGAGAACUUGUGUAACGGGACAGUUUUCUGACUUUCUGAGUUCUAACACAUCAGAAACAGUCGCCGGCGCUGUUGCGACAAUUACAUCGCACCAGGAUACGACCCCCCCUUUGCCCCUCUCGUCCUCCUUUUUAACUUUCCUCCGUCUCUCACACAUCUCAACAGCAGUAGCGAUGCUGUCCCGGGACGAGCUGCAGUGCCAGGCAGCUUAGCGAAGUGUGUUGCGGUCAGCGGGGCUGCUCGACCUUUGGUCACCUCCCAACCCCCCACCCCACCCCACACUGGUGUUUGUAUGUUUGUGUGGUGGCUGUGAAAAUGAAGAGAAGGGGUGGGGGGGUGAUUUGAAGACCAAAGUGACUAACGGGGGAGUGUAUGGUGAUGGGUGUUCAGAGAUGAAGGGGAGGUCGAGUUAGGGUCUUUGUGUUGUGUGUGAGUUGGUGGCUCUCAAUAGUCUUUUGUGACCAGGGCUGGUCCAAAUGAGCCCAGAGAUGAAAAGGCUUCCACGUAGUGGAGUUCAUUAGAGGACAGGCUGACCGCGGUCAGCAGCGGCAGCAGCAGCAGAGUCAGGGUGGACUUUUGUGGGACGCAGGUUCAUUCCGUCUCCUUCAGUCUGAUUUAGAAUUGAGAAAAAAAUAAGGAGCAGAGACAAUGACUGCUUUAUCCUCACCGUAACAGGACCGUGAACUUGGUGAAUUCCACCCAAUCACCUACCCCCCGCCCCCGCUCACUUAAGACACACACACUUCACUGUCCAGCUCACCAGCAGCAGUGG